GCGGAGGAAAAGAAACUAACAAGGAUUCCCCUAGUAGCGGCGAGCGAAGCGGGAAGAGCUCAAAUUUAUAAUCUGGCACCUUCGGUGUCCGAGUUGUAAUCUCUAGAAAUGUUUUCCGCGUUGGACCGCACACAAGUCUGUUGGAAUACAGCGGCAUAGUGGUGAGACCCCCGUAUAUGGUGCGGACGCCCAGCGCUUUGUGAUACAUUUUCGAAGAGUCGAGUUGUUUGGGAAUGCAGCUCAAAUUGGGUGGUAAAUUCCAUCUAAAGCUAAAUAUUGGCGAGAGACCGAUAGCGAACAAGUACCGUGAGGGAAAGAUGAAAAGCACUUUGGAAAGAGAGUUAACAGUACGUGAAAUUGUUGGAAGGGAAACGCUUGAAGUCAGACUUGCUUGCCGAGCAAUCGGUUUGCAGGCCAGCAUCAGUUUUCCGGGAUGGAUAAUGGUAGAGAGAAGGUAGCAGUUUCGGCUGUGUUAUAGCUCUCUGCUGGAUACAUCUUGGGGGACUGAGGAACGCAGUGUGCCUUUGGCGGGGGUUUCGACCUCUUCACACUUAGGAUGCUGGUGGAAUGGCUUUAAACGACCCGUCU
rnacentral:rRNA from 1 species